CAUUCCGAACUCGGAAGUUAAGCCUGGACACGCCGAUGGUACUACGUGGGCAGCUGCGUGGGAGAGUAGGUCGCCGCCAAGA
rnacentral:rRNA from 1 species